rnacentral:rRNA from 2 species
GCUUCGGCUACCACUUACAGAUGGGCCCGCGGCGCAUUAGCUAGUUGGUGAGGUAACGGCGCACCUACGGAAUUAUGCCUAUUCUACCUGAGACGAUGAUCGUUCACUCUGGUGACUGAGACACCCCCCAAACUCCUACGGCAGGCAGCAGUAGGGAGUCUUCCGCAAUGGACGAAAGUCUGACGGAGCAACGCCGCGUGAGUGAUGAAGGUUUUCGGAUCGUAAAGCUCUGUUGUUAGGGAAGAACAAGUACCGUUCGAAUAGGGCCGUACCUUGACGGUACCUAACCAGAAAGCCAUGGCUAAGUACGUGCCAGCAGCCGCGGUAAUACGUAGGUGGCAAGCGUUGUCCGGAAUUAUUGGGCGUAAAGGGCUCGCAGGCGGUUUCUUAAGUUUGAUGUGACAGCCCCCGGCUCAACCGGGGAGGGUCAUUGGAAACUGGGGAACUUGAGUGCAGAAGAGGAGAGUGGACUUCCACGUGUAGCGGUGAAAUGCGUAGAGAUGUGGAGGAACACCAGUGGCGAAGGCGACUCUCUGGUCUGUAACUGACGCUGAGGAGCGAAAGCGUGGGGAGCGAACAGGAUUAGAUACCCUGGUAGUCCACGCCGUAAACGAUGAGUGCUAAGUGUUAGGGGGUUUCCGCCCCUUAGUGCUGCAGCUAACGCAUUAAGCACUCCGCCUGGGGAGUACGGUCGCAAGACUGAAACUCAAAGGAAUUGACGGGGGCCCGCACAAGCGGUGGAGCAUGUGGUUUAAUUCGAAGCAACGCGAAGAACCUUACCAGGUCUUGACAUCCUCUGACAAUCCUAGAGAUAGGACGUCCCCUUCGGGGGCAGAGUGACAGGUGGUGCAUGGUUGUCGUCAGCUCGUGUCGUGAGAUGUUGGGUUAAGUCCCGCAACGAGCGCAACCCUUGAUCUUAGUUGCCAGCAUUCAGUUGGGCACUCUAAGGUGACUGCCGGUGACAAACCGGAGGAAGGUGGGGAUGACGUCAAAUCAUCAUGCCCCUUAUGACCUGGGCUACACACCUGCUACAAUGGACAGAACAAAGGGCAGCGAAACCGCGAGGUUAAGCCAAUCCCACAAAUCUGUUCUCAGUUCGGAUCGCAGUUUGCAACUCGAAUGCGUGAAGCUGGAAUCGCUAGUAAUCGCGGAUCAGCAUGCCGCGGUGAAUACGUUCCCGGGCCUUGUACACACCGCCCGUCACACCACGAGAGUU